UCAGCUAAAAGUAGGGCAGUUCAGAGGCAAAACAGAAGGCUGUGUGGAAGGAAGUGAGUGAAGUACAGGAAAGUGAAGGCAAGUUGAUUGUUGUGGAGACAGGAGAGAAGUCACCUGCCUCCUCACAGAAGAGAUGGACCAGCUCCUGGGGGCAUCACUGUUGAUCCUCUGUCUUCAGCCAGGCUGGGUGAGCAGUCAGCAGAAGAGUGGUGACCAGCAGCAGGUUAAGCAAACGUCUCCAUCCCUGAGUGUCCAAGAACGAAGAGUUGCUAUUCUGAGCUGUGACUACAAUAAUAAUUUAUUUUAUUACUUCUUAUGGUACAAAACGUACCCUGCUAGAGGUCCUGCACUCCUGAUAUCGACAAGUUCAGAUAAAAAAGAAGAUGGAAGAUUCACAGUCUUCCACAACAAGAGUGCCGAACACUUCUCACUGCACAUUGCAGACUCCCAGCUGGGCGACACAGCCUUGUACCUGUGCGUGGCAAGUGCACAGUGCUCUCCAGGCACCGGCAGCCUGUACCCAAACCUGCAGCUGGGUCCAAAACACACCCGUUUUAGGGUCUCAUUGUGUGAGGCACUAAGAAAUGCUUCAAUUUAUACAAGGCAGUAGGGAGGGUGUGCUUUAAAGCAGGGAAGGCAAGCUGAGCUUUAAGGAGACUGAUACAUGGGAGUCCUACAGAUGGGUCAAGGACAUUGCUGGGCUUUUGGGUGUCCAAGAGUCUAACCAUUUUACUUUUUAAUUUAGAGACUGUAUAUAAUAAGAUUCAUGCUCCAACAGUCUAAACAGCACCCACAUAAGGAACCGCCCAACAAUGCUGCCUCCCAAAAGAAGCCAUUAACUAAUCACAAAUUCUCUUGAAAAGCUUCCAAUUCAUAGAUUCUUAGCACACAUUUCUUCAUCAAUGACCCAGGCAAAGAUCUGAUUAUGAAAGCCUUAUGCUAUGGUUUUUGGUAUUGUGCUUAUAGAUAAAUGGUUGCAACUUGUCCCUCAAGGGCUAAUUUUAUGAAUUUUAUAGUUGGAGAAUGCAGAAAUUCAGGACACCUCUCUGGAAGCAAAGAGAAGCCUCUGAAAAUCUCAUUAAUUAGAUGUUUUCUGGAUGGCUCGAGGUAUAGAAUUCUCAGACAUCAGUUAGCUGUCCUACACCAACUCAGUUCCCACAUUACUUACUGCAGUGAGCAUUGGCUCCCCUAGAUUGAGGGUUCAGUACCACAUGUCUGUCCUUUCCCCACUUCAAACAUUAGUGGGAAGUUCAGGU